UACGGAGGGGGCGAGCGUUGUCCGGAUUUACUGGGCGUAAAGCGCGUGUAGGUGGCGGCUUAAGUCGGGUGUGAAAGCCCGGGGCUCAACCCCGGAGCGUCGCCCGAGACUGGGUCGCUUGAGGACGGAAGAGGGGAGUGGAAUUCCUGGUGUAGCGGUGAAAUGCGUAGAGAUCAGGAGGAACACCCGUGGCGAAGGCGGCUCCCUGGUCCGUCCCUGACGCUGAGACGCGAAAGCGUGGGGAGCGAACGGG
rnacentral:misc_RNA from 1 species